rnacentral:rRNA from 1 species
GGUAACACUUCGGGUGACGAGCGGCGGACGGGUGCGUAACGCGUGAGAAUCUACCUUUUAGUGGGGGACAACCCGGGGAAACUCGGGCUAAUACCGCAUGUGUCCUACGGGAUAAAGCAGGGGAUCUUCGGACCUUGCGCUAAAAGAUGAGCUCGCGUGAGAUUAGCUUGUUGGUGAGGUAAAGGCUCACCAAGGCAACGAUCUCUAGCUGGUCUGAGAGGAUGAUCAGCCACACUGGGACUGAGACACGGCCCAGACUCCUACGGGAGGCAGCAGUGGGGAAUAUUGGACAAUGGGGGCAACCCUGAUCCAGCAAUUCCGCGUGUGUGAAGAAGGCCUGCGGGUUGUAAAGCACUUUCAGUAGCCAAGAUGGGGUUGCUUGCUAAUAUCAAGUAGCUUUGACAUUAACUACAGAAGAAGCACCGGCUAACUCCGUGCCAGCAGCCGCGGUAAUACGGAGGGUGCAAGCGUUAAUCGGAAUUACUGGGCGUAAAGAGCACGUAGGCGGCUUUGCAAGUCGGGUGUGAAAUCCCUGAGCUUAACUCAGGAACUGCAUUCGAUACUGCAUCGCUAGAGUAUGUUAGAGGAUAGUGGAAUUCCAGGUGUAGCGGUGAAAUGCGUAGAUAUCUGGAGGAACACCAAUGGCGAAGGCAGCUAUCUGGAGCAAUACUGACGCUGAGGUGCGAAAGCGUGGGGAGCGAACAGGAUUAGAUACCCUGGUAGUCCACGCCCUAAACGAUGAGAACUAGACGUUGGGUAUUUAUACCGAGUGUCGUAGCUAACGCGUUAAGUUCUCCGCCUGGGGAGUACGACCGCAAGGUUGAAACUCAAAGUAAUUGACGGGGGCCCGCACAAGCGGU